UAUGAGAGACACUCAUUUAAAGAUUUUUGAGGAGAAAGUUGAAAUAAUCAGGAUGGUAUUUAAGGAAUAUUAAAUUGGGACAGUGAUAUGAAGGAUGAAUUAGAGAAGUGAGAGACCAGAAGCAGGAACACUAGUCGCAAAAUUAUUCCCAUAAUCUGGAAGAGAUGAGAUGAAGGGAUCUGGAGUGGAAGCAAAGAGGAGAAGAAAAGUGUCCAGGAAAAGGGAAUGGCUCCUCACUCUCUGGAGAGUCCAUCGUUGGCAUUGUGAUUGGAGUCCUACUUGGAGUGAUUUUGAUGGGGGCCCUCAUCUAUUUCCUGUUCUUUAGAAAGACUGGAAGGGCCAGUGAACAUCAUCUUACAGAGCACAAAUCCUCAGC